AUUGAACGCUGGCGGCAUGCUUUACACAUGCAAGUCGAACGGCAGCGCGGGCUUCGGCCUGGCGGCGAGUGGCGAACGGGUGAGUAAUGCAUCGGAACGUGCCCAGUAGUGGGGGAUAGCCCGGCGAAAGCCGGAUUAAUACCGCAUACGACCUGAGGGGGAAAGCGGGGGACCGAAAGGCCUCGCGCUAUUGGAGCGGCCGAUGUCGGAUUAGCUAGUUGGUGGGGUAAAGGCUUACCAAGGCGACGAUCCGUAGCUGGUCUGAGAGGACGACCAGCCACCCUGGGACUGAGACACGGCCCAGACUCCUACGGGAGGCAGCAGUGGGGAAUUUUGGACAAUGGGGGCAACCCUGAUCCAGCCAUGCCGCGUGCGGGAAGAAGGCCUUCGGGUUGUAAACCGCUUUUGUUCGGGAAGAAAUCCUCUGGGCUAAUACCCCGGGGGGAUGACGGUACCGGAAGAAUAAGCACCGGCUAACUACGUG
rnacentral:rRNA from 1 species